AUUGAACGCUGGCGGAAUGCUUUACACAUGCAAGUCGAACGGCAGCACGGGGGCGAACCCUGGUGGCGAGUGGCGAACGGGUGAGUAAUACAUCGGAACGUGCCCAGUCGUGGGGGAGUAACGCAGCGAAAGCUGUGCUAAUACCGCAUACGAUCUAAGGAUGAAAGCGGGGGACCGGAAAGGACCUCGCGCGAUUGGAGCGGCCGAUGUCAGAUUAGCUUGUUGGCGGGGUAAAA
rnacentral:rRNA from 1 species